GCACCCGUAGCUCAACGGAUAGAGCAUCUGACUACGGAUCAGAAGGUUAGGGGUUCGAAUCCCUUCGGGUGCA
rfam:Actinokineospora spheciospongiae strain EG49 contig1280_6, whole genome shotgun sequence.